CAGUCGAACGAGUUCUCGUUGAUGAUCGGUGCUUGCACCGAGAUUCAACAUGGAACGAGUGGCGGACGGGUGAGUAACACGUGGGUAACCUGCCCUUAAGUGGGGGAUAACAUUUGGAAACAGAUGCUAAUACCGCAUAGAUCCAAGAACCGCAUGGUUCUUGGCUGAAAGAUGGCGUAAGCUAUCGCUUUUGGAUGGACCCGCGGCGUAUUAGCUAGUUGGUGAGGUAAUGGCUCACCAAGGCGAUGAUACGUAGCCGAACUGAGAGGUUGAUCGGCCACAUUGGGACUGAGACACGGCCCAAACUCCUACGGGAGGCAGCAGUAGGGAAGCUUCCACAAUGGACGCAAGUCUGAUGGAGCAACGCCGCGUGAGUGAAGAAGGCUUUCGGGUCGUAAAACUCUGUUGUUGGAGAAGAAUGGUCGGCAGAGUAACUGUUGUCGGCGUGACGGUAUCCAACCAGAAAGCCACGGCUAACUACGUGCCAGCAGCCGCGGUAAUACGUAGGUGGCAAGCGUUAUCCGGAUUUAUUGGGCGUAAAGCGAGCGCAGGCGGUUUUUCAAGUCUGAUGUGAAAGCCCUCGGCUUAACCGAGGAAGCGCAUCGGAAACUGGGAAACUUGAGUGCAGAAGAGGACAGUGGAACUCCAUGUGUAGCGGUGAAAUGCGUAGAUAUAUGGAAGAACACCAGUGGCGAAGGCGGCUGUCUGGUCUGUAACUGACGCUGAGGCUCGAAAGCAUGGGUAGCGAACAGGAUUAGAUACCCUGGUAGUCCAUGCCGUAGACGAUGAAUGCUAGGUGUUGGAGGGUUUCCGCCCUUCAGUGCCGCAGCUAACGCAUUAAGCAUUCCGCC
rnacentral:rRNA from 1 species